AGUCGAACGAGAGAGAGGGAGCUUGCUUCCUCGAUCGAGUGGCGAACGGGUGAGUAACGCGUGAGGAACCUGCCUCAAAGAGGGGGACAACAGUUGGAAACGACUGCUAAUACCGCAUAAGCCCACGGCUCGGCAUCGAGCAGAGGGAAAAGGAGCAAUCCGCUUUGAGAUGGCCUCGCGUCCGAUUAGCUAGUUGGUGAGGUAACGGCCCACCAAGGCGACGAUCGGUAGCCGGACUGAGAGGUUGAACGGCCACAUUGGGACUGAAACACGGCCCAGACUCCUACGGGAGGCAGCAGUGGGGAAUAUUGCACAAUGGGGGAAACCCUGAUGCAGCGACGCCGCGUGGAGGAAGAAGGUCUUCGGAUUGUAAACUCCUGUUGUUGAGGAAGAUAAUGGCGGUACUCAACAAGGAAGUGACGGCUAACUACGUGCCAGCAGCCGCGGUAAAACGUAGGUCACAAGCGUUGUCCGGAAUUACUGGGUGUAAAGGGAGCGCAGGCGGGCGAUCAAGUUGGAAGUGAAAUCCAUGGGCUCAACCCAUGAACUGCUUUCAAAACUGAUUGUCUUGAGUAGUGCAGAGGUAGGCGGAAUUCCCGGUGUAGCGGUGGAAUGCGUAGAUAUCGGGAGGAACACCAGUGGCGAAGGCGGCCUACUGGGCACCAACUGACGCUGAGGCUCGAAAGUGUGGGUAGCAAACAGGAUUAGAUACCCUGGUAGUCCACACCGUAAACGAUGAUUACUAGGUGUUGGAGGAUUGACCCCUUCAGUGCCGCAGUUAACACAAUAAGUAAUCCACCUGGGGAGUACGACCGCA
rnacentral:rRNA from 1 species